rnacentral:rRNA from 1 species
GUGGGGAAUAUUGGACAAUGGGCGCAAGCCUGAUCCAGCCAUGCCGCGUGAGUGAUGAAGGCCUUAGGGUUGUAAAGCUCUUUCGUCAGGGAAGAUAAUGACGGUACCUGAAGAAGAAGCCCCGGCUAACUUCGUGCCAGCAGCCGCGGUAAUACGAAGGGGGCUAGCGUUGCUCGGAAUCACUGGGCGUAAAGCGCACGUAGGCGGCUAUCUAAGUUAGGGGUGAAAUCCUGGAGCUUAACUCCAGAACUGCCUUUGAUACUGGAGAGCUAGAGUUAGGGAGAGGUGAGUGGAACUGCGAGUGUAGAGGUGACAUUCGUAGAUAUUCGCAAGCACACCAGUGGCGAAGGCGGCUCACUGGCCCGAUACUGACGCUGAGGUGCGAAAGCGUGGGGAGCAAACAGGAUUAGAUAACCUUGUAGUCC